UAUUAUUGCGUACCAUAUUUCCAACACAACCGGCAUAUUUCCAACCCCAUGAUAGGACUCCCACAUGAUCCACGGAUCUGCUCCACACCUCCCCUUAUCUCCUCCUCCUUCCUCCCUCUGCCACCACCGGCUCCACCACCUCCCUCCAAAUCCCCUCCACCUAGCUCUGCCUCCUUUCUCCCCUCCUCCCACCACCGUCCAUGGCUCCUCUCUUGGCCAAGCUCUGACUCCUUCCUUCCUUGUCGGCUCCGGCCGACCGUGGAGCUCCCUCAGAUGGAUGUAUCGGCUACAGAAUCCGGCGCCGGUGAGCGGAUGAGCCGCCUCCCCCGGGCCACCCCGGUCGGAUCCGGCCCGCUGCCUUCGUGCCCACUUCCCCUUUGCCUCCGUGUAAAGCGAACCCCUCCUCCUACGGGUACACCAGCCACUAAAUCUCGCACCGGCAGAUCCCGUGAAGCAGCCAAUCUGUGUGAUGGAGGGCGUGGUGGCCAUGAGAGGUCGAGGUGGCGCCGAUCGGCGAGCAGGACGUCGCCCCACUGUAUCCGUUAGAGGGGAGCAGUGCACUUCGGUACACCUCCUCCCGACAUGCCCCGUGCUACUUCCCCACAACUCCUACUACCUGAUGGGAGAACGACCAAUAGUGCCUGCGGGAUGAAGACGACAAAGGCAGCUCUGGAAACUGGCAGGCGGGCAAAACUAGAAGCCAGAUCUAGGAGAGGCACUGCAACUGCUCUUCAAGGGUAUGUUGCCUAUUAUAUUUAGUUGUAGCUGGAUUCAUGGAUAUCUGAUAUCAGUUUUAACAGCCAGUUGGUAAGAGAAAUCUCAGCAAUUUUGGAAGAGCCUAGUUACAUACUGUUAGUUUCAUCUCGUGUAACUUGACUUGGUCACUCAUUUUGCUCUGAAAUGAAGUAUCGUGUGUUUUACUGUUUAUCUGGAGGAUCCAUAAUAUAUUGAUUGAGAUGAGGUUUUGUCCC